CUUGGACAGGCGCGAUGCGUCAUGGGAAUGAGCGGUCCAAGAUCCAAGAUGGCGGCCUCCACAGAUUAUCGGAUCGGACGAGAUUACACACGAACACGCCUGGAAACGUUCGAAACGUACCUUUCCAAACGUAUUCAUUCCACGUAACCCGUUCUACAGGUGCUGAUGACACUCAACCCAGGAAGGCCAUCAGUGCACAUGAGAUGACAGCAGAUGAGAAGCUGAUUAUGCAAUGGAUUACCUGCUUCUACCUGCAGAUGGCAGAGUUAUAAUGAACACUAACCAAGUCCCAAUUUCUUUAAUAUGCAUAAACAAUGAGUCUGUAAAAAGAUAAACAGCAAGUAGAACUAGAAGCGUGCCUUUCUGUGAUGCACUGUGGUACUAUGGCAUUUAUUAUGACUCAGAUUUAGAUGCUUUGAAAUCAUAGCUCUUUGGACUGUAGAUGUAAUUGUCAUGUUGAAGCUAAUAUGUAGCAUGCAGUAUCCUAGAUGCAAUGUUGUGAGGAGCCAUUUUGCAUAUCCAUAUCUACAAAUAUCUUGCAAUUAUAUACUUCAGGACUAUAUGUAUGCUGUCAGUAACUGUAAGUCCCUGAGGCAUGACUGAUUGACCAAGGAAGCAGAGCACUUUCUGAUGUUCGAAUUCUGUGUUUUAUCAAAACUCCAUUGAACAGGUAGCUAUGGAGAGGGGUGAAUUAAUUGUGUGUUUAAGAUACUCUCCAGGAAAUGUUUAGGUAUAUAAUGUUGAGCAAUUCCUGAUGAAAUGAUUCUUUAAAAAAAAACAGUACAUUUCAUGCUGUAAGUGUAGAGCUUUUCACCCUACAUUGUACACACAUGUAUGAGAUCAUUGUCAAUGUGAUGGGAUCUGGUGUGUAUCCUGCUAUGCAAUGCUGACUUAAAGUGUUAAUGACACCAAUGAUAGCAAUGUAGCAACAUUUUGGUGAUUGUAAUCCAUUGAGAUAGAAUUACUAAUUGAAAAUAGAACUUUGCACUAAAAUAAACCCUCCUGGUGUUAUUGAAUAUAAAACCAAUUGAAGAUCAUACUUCCAGCUCUUGUUUCCAGGUUGUCACCAGGUAAUUGAAUUAAACAUUGAUUGUAGCUGCACUGGCUGCGGACCGUCAGUUGUGGAUGAAACUUGUGAUCAAGUGCUCUGCCACCGACUGAUGAUGAGGAUGAUGAUGUUGAGGACUACAAUGAUUCUUAACUUGCCACUGUGGCUUGCGAAAAAAAUAAUUUUGGGAAGCAAACUAAGCAAAUAUUUUUGUAUCUUGCAAGUAUGUGUUAUCUCCUUAAACUAAGCACAGUGUGCUCAUCAACAGUACUUUUUAGCAACACUCGAUGUCUUGUUCUGAACCGGCCGCAGUGUUCAAUGAGAUGUCAUUGAAGUAAUAAUCAAUGCUCAAUUCAAUUACCUGGUGGCAGGAAACAAGAGCUGAAGUAUGAUCUUUGACAGGGUUUGAUGUUCUAUAACAUCAUACGACUAGUCGACUGUAACUUUGGUCUGUGUUCAUACAAGAAUACUAUUACCGGCAAAGUUAGUAAUAAUCUGAAUCAUUAUUGCUUUACCUGUCCAUGUCUGUACGAUACAUAACGGUAAUUCAUGAAUUUUCCUUAUUUGCAUGCAUAUACAAAAAUAAGUGCCAACACAGGACAACAUCCAGUUGUGCAUUGUAUAUAAAGGUAUGAACAAGUUGGCCUCUAUUUUGCUGGUAGACAGUUAUUGAUCUAGAUCCUUUUUGUCAAGCUUUAUUUUGCUGCAGUCAAAUCGUCAAGAAAUAAACAGUGGUCUUUGGGAAAAAA